UAUCUUUAGUUGGUCCGCAAGGAUCUCUCUGAGGAAACUGCCAGCGAUGAGCUGGAGGAAGUGGGGAUGACGUCAAGUCAUCAUGGCCCUUACGUCCAGGGCGACACACGUGCUACAAUGGCAGCUACAGAGGGUCGCAAUACCGCGAGGUGGAGCCAAUCCCUAAAAGCUGUCUCAGUUGGGAUCGGAGUCUGCAACUCGACUCCGUGAACGCGGAAUCGCUAGUAAUCGUGGAUCAGCCAUGGCGCGGUGAAUACGUUCCCGGGCCUU
rnacentral:rRNA from 1 species